UGUUAUGUUUAAAUCCCUAGAACCCCAAACCCGAAACCCGAAACCACAAACCCCAAACCCCAAACCCCAAACCCCAAACCCCAAACCCGAAACCCGAAACCCGAAACCCGAAACCCCAACCCCGAAACCCCAAACCCGAAAUCCGAAACCCGAAACCCCAAACCCGAAACCCCAUACCCCAAACCCGAAACCCCAAACCCGAAACCCGAAACC
rnacentral:lncRNA from 1 species